rnacentral:rRNA from 1 species
GACGAACGCUGGCGGCGUGCUUAACACAUGCAAGUCGAACGGGCCCGCCCCUGUUUUUGGGGGUGGGUUGAGUGGCGAACGGGUGAGUAUCACGUGAGUAACCUGCCCCCUGCUCCUGGAUAACUGCUUGAAAGGGCGGCUAAUACGGGGUGUGCCGGCUGGUCCGCAUGGGCCUGGUCGGGAUAGUUUCAUCUUCGGGUGUUUCGGUGGGGGAUGGGCUCGCGGCCUAUCAGCUUGUUGGUGGGGUGAUGGCCCACCAAGGCGGUGACGGGUAGCCGGCCUGAGAGGGUGGGCGGCCACACUGGGACUGAGACACGGCCCAGACUCCUGCGGGAGGCAGCAGUGGGGGGGAUGGCACAAUGGGCGGAAGCCUGAUGCAGCGACGUCGCGUGAGGGAUGGAGGCCUUCGGGUUGUGAACCUCUUUCUCCGGUGGUGAAGGCCCUGUCCGUUGCGGCGGGGUUGACGGUAGCCGGGGAUGAAGCGCCGGCUAACUACGUG